AUAUAAGUUAAUCCAGUUUAAAUUUAUAAAAUUGCAUGUGGCUGGCACCUGCCACAUCAGACAGCCAAGUGAAAUAUUAGAAUAUUUUGGUUUGUUCACUCAGGUAUGCCAAUUGCCUAAAAGAAUGUCUGGCAUACUGUAAACCCUCACAAACAGUUGUUGAGUAAGUGAAGGCAAGGGUCAUAUUCCAGUGUAUUUCAAUAAAGACAGUUGUCUCUUCCUUCUAACCUGAAUUUUUUUUUUUUUUUUUUUUUUUUUGUCUUUUUGUCUUUCACCUUUUUAGGGCCGCUCCCACGGCAUAUGGAGGUUCCCAGGCUAUGAGUCGAAUUGGAGCUGUAGCCACCGGCCUACGACACAGCCACAGCAACGGGGGAUCUGAUCUGCGUCUGUGACCUACACCACAGCUCAUGGCAAUGCCAGAUCCUUAACCCAUUGAGCGAGGCCAGGGAUUGAACCCGCAACCUCAUGAUUCCUAGUCAGAUUCGUUUCCUCUGCGCCAUGAUGGGAACGCCUAACCUGAAAAUUUCUAAUGCUUUUAUUGUAUUUAUUAUUUAGGUGUAUGUUCUGAACUAUUUUGAGAAUUUCAAAUAUUUAUUUGUUGCCUUCUUUCUUACCAUGUGAUGUACGACUGUACCGGUGUGUUUGUCUGUGCAUGAAAGUAUAAUGUGAAUUUAUACUUGUGUUUCAGAACUGAAAAGCUCAUCUCUACUAUUACUCACAAUCCUCUGUGCAAUUUGGGAUUAAACACAUUUAUUAACAGGCUGUCAUUCACAAUGUUUGUCAAGAAAGAAACAAACACCCUGGCUCCACAUUUCAGGACAUCCUUUGACACAAAGAAGACUUCCCUCACCAGGAACUGA
rnacentral:lncRNA from 1 species